rnacentral:tRNA from 1 species
AUAGCUUAGUUGGUCAAGUACUUGCCAUAAAAACAGGAAAAUCUGGGUUCAAAUCCCAGU